CACGCAGGCGGUUUUUUAAGUCAGAUGUGAAAGGUACCGGCUCAACCGGUGACAUGCAUUUGAAACUGAAAGACUUGAGUAUUGGAGAGGCAAGUGGAAUUCCUAGUGUAGCGGUGAAAUGCGUAGAUAUUAGGAGGAACACCGGUGGCGAAGGCGGCUUGCUGGACAAAUACUGACGCUGAGGUGCGAAAGCGUGGGAGCAAACA
rnacentral:rRNA from 1 species